rnacentral:lncRNA from 1 species
GAGUGUAGAAAGUGAAAAGAAUCGAUUUGGAGUUAAAUUGAAGAUUUUAGCCGAUUAGACCGAGAAUGGUGCGAAUUAGGUCGAAUACCGUAUUUAAAUGGCUAUUCGGACAUUUUGCAUUCCAUAUCAUGCAUUAUUAGCCUAAAUUAGUUUAAUUUCAAUUUAGUAUCAAAGUGGUGAAUUUCGCAAUUUUGUAUUGUGUCAAAGUGGUGAGUCCUCCGAUAAAGGCAAAGAAAUUGCAUCCGAGGACCAGUAGACAAAGUACUUCGAAAGUCUGCAUUCUAGACAUUGUGAGUAAACUUACUGUCAUUUUAAUUAUCUAGGGUGUUUUUUAGAUGAUUUCAUGAAUUCUAUGGAAAAAUGGAUUCAAAAGGUAAAUUUUCAUGUUUUAUGAAUAAAGGUGUUCCAAUGAAAUUAAAUUAUAAAUUGUUUUGAAACUAAUAAUGAUUUUAAAAAAUAGAGUAUACGGAGACUGUUAAUUGUGACAAUUUGAUUGUUUAAAUUGACGACUUAUGUUAUAUUGUUAUUGUGUUGGCAUGACUAGCUGGGCUGUGUUUUAUGAAUUGUAUGAAUUGUUUUAUUUUACCUUUGCAGGCUGGGUAGUAUUUCAUUAGCCCUGUCAUGCCGUCAAAAUUUUAUUAUAUGGUGGAUUAUAUAUUACUUAAUCACUACAGUAGGGGGUUUUUGUGGACCAGCCUUUUAGAGGGGCAUGGUAAACCCCAUUAUAAUUCUUACCUCGAUUGGAG